UCUCACGGUCUGUAGCAAAAUUUAACAAUUUUCCUGCAGCAUAAAAGACCUGGAAGAACAUUUAAAAAAAAAAAUCUAAUUGGGAGCCUUUUAAUUGAAUUAAAUAUUAAUAUGGCUAAUGCGAUCGAUGCCGUAUUGAUUGUGUUAGCCACAAUAAUGUUUAAUUCAAUGAGUCUGCGGUGCUGGACCUCUUCCUUCCCUGUAUUUAUUCGGUAUUGUGCAGCAGCACAAUGCCCUUAUGCUCUGCCCCACCUCAUGCUGGGGGAGCAGAGACAAUAUUGCUGUCGAUGUAAGCAUUGCCCGUCACCCCCACACGCUUUGCUUCUGCAGCCCGGGUCCGAUGCGAUGGUCCUGUCCCUCCCUUAGCAGCUGAGUCCCAGCAGCUGUGGCAAAACGGGAAGAUUUCCUCCCCGCAAGCUCCCUACCAUGUUCCUGAAGAGGUGCCAGGUUCUGGCUUUAAACUCAGCCAACCUUGAAGAAUUUUAUUUGUGGUUGUAAGCAGAAGGUUUUUAUUAAAUUAAACUUCAUGGUUUUGUUUAACUGAAAAAAUCGGAGGCAGAUGUUCUCCCCAUUUCAAUCCACUUACAGUACAAGCUUUCUGGCCUCUGUUUUAUUUAUUUAUUUACCUAUUUAUUUAAUUAUUUAUUGCUGUGUUACUCUCAUUUCAUACCACCUACAUUUGUCGAAUCCAAGGAAAAUCCUUUUUUUUUUUUUUUCUUUUUUCUUUUUUUUCCAUGCGUUUCCUCCUCAGCUAAGCAGCAGGGCUGGCAGGUACCAGCGUGAGUCCACGCCGAUGGUUUCUGGCUGCCUUUUGGGGUGAUAAAUCUUUGUACAUGUUAAAAUAUUUGAUCACUGGUGGCGAAACACGUCUGUGUGCAGCAGGGAAAGUGGCUAUAACCAGCCCUUGGGAUGUGUUGCGUAUUCCCACACCUAAUUAGAGCACAUUAAGCCUCCUCCCGAGACCCUACCGGAGAGCCCCAGCAGCACCCUCCUCCUGCACCUUCUCCCCGUUAUUUCCAGGCACCAUGCCAUUAUUCAGGCUACAUGGCAUGAGUGCAUGCGCUGAAAUCUGUGCUCCCUGGAGAAAAAAAGACGCAACACUCCCAUGCCCCUGCUUCUCCAACUCUUCUCCAGAUCCCAGCACUUUGAUCAUUUCACAUGCAAAGGAUAAUUAUUUUUUUGGUUGAAACAAGGGAUGGAUUGCAGAUCGAUGGAGUCUGCUGUAUGUUCUCGUGUGUUAUCCCUGCCACACCCCGUCAGAGCGUUUCCUUACGGAAGGAGCUUGAAGAAUUGUUUGUGGCUUGGAUUUCUGAUCCCUGGAUUACUACAGCCAGCAAUGGAAAGAGAAAAAAAGAAAUAAGAAUAAAGAAAAGUUAUAAUGCAUCCUGCAUGAGAGUCACUGAAGGCUGGGCCUCUUCUGGAGACCAAUUCCUCUUUAGAAAGGCUGUGACACCUCGAGGUCUCCCUAGGACAAGGCUUGAGAAUGGUCACCCGCCGGCUGCCCCAGCACAGGGAUGUGACACAACGCUUGCUACGUAUCGCAGUGGUUUACAAGAGGUGGGACUGCAAAUGAUGCCUCGGUCCCCAGACUCCAGCUGGGUGGAGACCGACCUUGGAUCUUGGUUCUUGGAUCUUUGCACCCAAGAGGAGCAGGCAGGAAAACCCCAUCGUCUCGUGGCCCUUGUGAUAUCUCCACCUGGUAGGAAUUACAAUAUCCCCAAUUUCCCUGCGCUGUCCCCUUGCUGGGAGGGGAAAUCCUUCACCCUCGGGGAAAUUUUAACAGAGCAGGGCUCAUGAAGGGUGGCCCCAAAGUGCCUUCUGCUCCUUGCCCUGGGCCGCCUUCUAUUAGAUAUUUCUCAUGCUGCUGACAAAACAGUGGGAUUUAGGAGGUUUUUAGUGAAACCACGAAGGCUAAUACAUCCUACGGGACUUCACACCAUGGUAACAAACAGGCUUUAUUUUCCAGGCGGGUCUCCAUAUGUUUUCUUUUAAUGCUGGCGGGGCAGGGAGGGGUAAUGCCUCUGUUUGUUUAGAGAUGCAAUUAACCCAAGCGCAGAGGGCUGCAGCAAGCCAAGAGAAUAACCUUGAAUCCAGAGAAAGUUAGGGGAAAUUUAAAGCCAUCUGCAGCUCCAAUGGGUCCCUGCGCACCCCUUUUGCUCACAGUUUCUAUUCAUGCCGAUAAAGUGCCAGAAGAUAUGCAAUACAAUGGAAAAUUGCUUCUUUGGGUAUCAUAGCAUCUUGACUUAGAAGUGCUUUAACCUUGGCCUCAUGCUUCCUGCGGGGCCUGUUGUCUUUGCUGCAGAAGUGCCGACACCAGCCGGGAGCGUGCAGAAUUUUUCAUUCGAGUAAAAUUAAAGCCCAAAACCUUUUACCAUCCUCUCGAUUCCAGGCAUGUUCUACCUGCAUUAAAUUGAGCUUAAUGGACUGCAAAACGAGUGUUUCAGCACGUAUGGGAGUGGGUUAUUUGCAAGAGGACAGGUUCCUCACAUCCCCUUUCCCCCCAGCCCUGCCGUCCCCCAGGACCACGUGCGUCCAUCCACGUGGGGGACGAAGACAUCGCUACCACAGAACAGCUCCAGAGCAAAGCCACAGAAGAAGUCUUCCAAAAAGCCUUUGAGCCACCGAAGAGAAACACAUCAUUGCUCAUGCUGUGCUGGAGGCUGUGGGUUUGCUCUUUGGCUUCAUGUUUUGCAGCUCCGUGCUGAUGCUGCCUGGCUCCAGGCUCCCUGCAGCGGGGACAGGGACGGUCGUGUCAGGUGGGACUCGACUCACGACGUGCCACGUAAUGUAUUAACGAGGACGGAGGAAAGCAAUGCUCUCUGGAUGGGCUUUGCCACUGUUUGGGGGACAAUUUGGGGUUAAAAAGUGUGACUUUGGGGUAAAUAUCCCUGGGAGGAAGGAUUGCCUUUCUAGAGCCAUGCAUGUUUCUCUUCUUCUCCCCAUCUCCCACCAUGCCUGGGCCAGCUGUGCAGUUUCGCUGCAGCCGGGGUUUUGCCCAGGGGAAGUAUUUGUGUGCUUCCCUCCACAGUCACUUUUCCAUCUGCAGAAGUCUCUGUUCCUCACAUUGAAAGUGUUGCCUGUACGACCCUGCUCUUCUCUUACUCCAUUUCAAGAGCAUUCCUUGCCUUCCUCUAUUUACAUGCCCCAGGCUGUACCAUUUCUUACUCUGUGCCCUUCAUCCUUCAUCUUUCCAGCCCAACUCUCCACCUUCCCUGGCUCUCUUCCUUACCAAGUGCCUGUCCUUCUCUCCGUCCUUCACCACUUCCCUCCCUUUUGGUCACAUUCUUAUCUCCUCUGUCUCCCAUUUAAUCUCUGAUCUAACUUGGGCCAGUCCAGCUCGUACAGAGCAGUGGCAUCAUUUGGCCGUCCGUCCGUCCGUCCGUCCAUCCAUCCAUCCAUCCCUUUAUCCCAUAAUCUCAGUCUGCAGCCCCCGUAGUCCCAGCUGGCCUUACAAACGAGCACACACUAUGGGGUCCUGGCGGUGUGCCCCCUGCUACCAGGCCACCCUGUGCCACGCGCCCCGUCGAACCUGUGCAGCUCUGAGCACAGCCCUGCUGCAAUCCAAACCCGUCCCUGAGCAUCACCCAGGGGAAGGGGAAGGCCGGGGGGAGGUUGUGCUCCUCCAUCAAAUAACAUAUGUAUCAGACACCUUUCCCUUGAGACGGCAGCCUCUGGAAGCCCAAGACGAACCUUUCAACAAGAUUAAAGAGAUGGUAUUAAUUGCUAUCGAUCAUGGGUCAACAAAUUAAAUUGCAUCUGCAACUGCAUCUCUGAAAGGUCUAAAUGAGAAGAGUAGUUAAUGGGUCUGGCUGGCCCAGAGCUGUGAUUAAUUAAAGGGAGAAAUGAACUAAAACACACACACAAAAAAAAAUGGAAAGAAAGGAGAUUGAGAUGAGGUUGAAACGCUUUGUAAAUAAACACGCUCAGAAAAAAAAAAUGUAUCUGGGGAGAGCUGGAUGGGAUUUCAAUUCCGGAUUCCACUCUGUCAGACCUGGGGCUGGCUGCCACGAUUUUGGGCUGUUCUGCUCUGAGUACCCCAGGUGCAGCUGAAGGGGGGUCAAAACAGGGACCUGGUGCCUAACCCUGCUUGAUCUGGGGGAACCAGAGCCCUUCCAACAUCUGAGCCAGGACCUCUUGGUGCCCCCACAGUCCAUGCUCCUGGGAGCGAUGCUCCAGCUCAUGGUGCAUGGUCCCUGGGGCUCCCUUUGGCUUUAUUUAUUAUUAUUAUUAUUUGGAUUAAAAAAUUUUGGGGGGAAUAACAUGCUCGUGAUCCACCUCGCCACGGGCAGAGCAGAACCAAAAGGGUUUUCCCGUGGGGAGCUGGGGCAAGGGAGCAAGGGCGCUGCCGCUGCUUCUUGGAAAUAAUUAACUAGCACAGCAUGGGAUGUAGAUGGCGUUUAAUUAAUAAUGAAGAAAAUAAUAAUAUGUGGCACGUAUAGCGCUGCACUUGUUCCAAGCACUGUACAAACAUUAACUACAGUAAUUAAGCUGUAAUUAAUUAGAGUAACCGCUAAUCACUGUAAAUAAUGAUGCAUCUGGAGGUAGCGAAAGGAGUCUGCGGGCUGAAAGCAAAGUUCUGGGUUUGGGAAGUGGCAUCGAGGAUAAAGUGGCACCUGGGGGGGGACCGAGCGCGUGGAGGGGCCAGAGCUGGUGGGAAGCUGCGGUCAGCAGAGUCACAGACACCACAGGUAGAGAAUUUUUUUUUUUUUUUUGCUGGUUCACACACUUUAUAUUUAACAAAAUAAUUUUUUAAUAAUAUAUUCUUUUACACGUCAAAUAUUGUUUCUAGAACCCCCACCCCCCCCGCUUUUUUUUUUACAGAAUAGUUUUGUUUUUUGUUGUUUUUGUUUUCUUUUUCUCACUAGUUUCAGGCACACUAUUGUUUGAAAAUGCUGAAGCUGGGCAGUCACUGACAGGCAGCAGCUUACAACUCAACGUGACGAUGGCUUCGCUCGCGGUGCGCUGCGGGGAGCAAAUCCUCGGCCGCAGCACGGCCAGCACCGCCCUGGUGCCUGUCCUGUGCCAGCCGAGGGCCUGCCCCCGCCGAAACACAAAAUGGGGACGAAAUAAAAGGAUAAAGGCAGCGCUGCGGCGCCGCUGAGCGUGCUGGCUGGUGUCGCUGGAGGAUGCCGUGGGCAGGAUUUGCUGGGCCGACGUCUGCCCAAAGUGAUGGUGAUGGGCAAAAAGCAGCAACCAGGGGCGUGGGUGGAGGAGGGACCCUGGUGGCUUUUCCCUUGCCGUACCGGCACGAAGGGAACUGGUGCACGGGGGUUUGGUCCCUGCUGCCAGCGUGUCCCAGUCCUCCCGUGCCUGUGGCUUUGGCUGCUCCCAGGAACACGGGUGGCUGUGCCCUGGCCCCUGAGGGGAGCCCCAGGCUCUCUCCACCACCCCAAUGGGACAUCACAUCCAGAGGUGAGCCAAACCCCAUCCCAAGCCCUCAAAACUCCCUUCCUGGGUAAGCUUGGCCCUGAAAAAUCACAGGGAGAGUAACUGGCCCGAGAGAAAGAGCUGGGGAGAAACCUCUCAGACCCAGGGAGGCGGCUGCUUUCCCGAUGUCCUGGCGAGGAUGUUGGUGCCCAGGUAGGUGUCCCCAUGCAGUGGGGAAGGUGUAGCACGGGUACAGCUCACCUCGGGGCGUCCAACCUCAUAGCCACGCACCCACCUCCAUCCUCCCACAGGGCACGUUCCCCUUGUGUUUCUCAGCCCCAUUCUCCCCUUUUGGUCUUUGUCUCCCCCGCCCUCCCCCCCAGCAUAGACACAACAGGAAUUACCCAGCGCUUCGCUCAUAGCUGUAUUGCCCCGACUGUCCCAGCUUAGGAAGAGGCUUUAAAAAAAAAAA